AGGACCAGUGAGCAUCCCCUUCAUAGGACGUUCGGUCAUCUUCUGUGCCAUUGACGACCAGAAGACAGUCAUUGCCUUUGGUCGGCUGACAUCACCGUAGAUGAUAGGUGGCUUGACACAGCGGGAUCCAUAUGACUGGACCCAGCAAAGCUCAUAAUGCAUUGUCUUAUGUGAUUAGGUUUCAAGAAAGAACAAGUUAAGGUGGCGGUAACCACAACAAGGAAGCUAAGACUAACAGGAGAACGUCCAACUGGUGGAAACAAAUGGAUUCGUUUCCGCCACGAAAUUACAGUUCCUAUGACCGUUGAUAUUGACUCUGUUUCAGCUAUGUUCAAGGAUAACAAACUCUACAUCCGACAUUCCAAAGUCAAGACAGAGAGCCCUCAUACUAAGCCACCGUCACAGGUGGUCAAGAAACCACAUGAUCAACAAGAGACAAAACAAGGACAGGGUGCUAAAGCAGCAACGGUCGAGAAGCCGGAUGGUGCCAAGACAGGAAUCCCUCAAUCACCUGUCAAACCACCGGUGAUGACGCAACCACGUGAUCAACAUGAGGCCAAACAAGGCCUGGGAUUUAAACCCGAAGAGCUGAAGCAUGAUGCACAGCAAAAAGCAGGGGGAGUACAGAAUGACAACAAGGAACUAAUUGGUGAGCCUAAAGGACAUUUGAGUUCCAAAGAUGAGGAGAAGGACAAAGUUGGAGCGAAGUUGUUCGAGAAGUACAAAGAGGCAACUGGAAAUGUGGUACAGAAAGCUAAAAGCCAAAGGCAGCUACUCUGCAAUAUGGCUGCUUCGAUUACAUUGGUUCUGCUAAUCCUACUCUAUGCUAGAAAUGCAGUACGUUCAUCCCUUGUGUGGAACUCAGAGGAAUGAGUGACCCUUCACACAAUGUAUAUGUUUGCUCAGGCAGAAAAUAAAUAAUAUUUGAUAAUUCCCCUCUACAUGUCUGUCUACAAAUGUGUAACUAGAAAAUGAGAAAAAAAAAAAACUCCAUUUUAUAGAUUUCAAAUCAGUUUUAGCGUAAUUCCAGUGCCAGAACAAUCAUUACAGGUUCAUUCCAAGCAAUGAUAAUACGUAGAGGGAUUUAGAGAGAGAAGAAAGUGGUAGUAUGAACAAACUUACUGGAUGAGAAAGACUUUAUGACUUAUUUAGCUGAGAGCGGAUUAGCUUGGUAGCAGCAACCAUGUUGCUCAGUGCAGACUUAACUUCAGAGUACUUCCGCGUCUUUAGGCCACAGUCAGGGUUCACCCAAAGGACUUUGCUGUCCAGAACUGCAAGCAUCUUAUUGAUACGCUCAGCUAUUUCUUCAGAUGAUGGGAUACGAGGAGAGUGAAUGUCAUACACCCCUGGACCGAUUCCAGCACCGUAUUUCACUCCUUCAUGGAAGACUGAUAAGAGCUUCUCAUCUGACCGUGAGUUUUCAAUAGUGAUCACAUCAGCAUCCAUGUUUAUGAUUGAGUUGAUAAUGUCGUUGAAAUUUGAGUAGCACAUGUGGGUGUGAAUCUGCAUGAAAGUACAAGGAAAGCAUGAAUAAAUUACAUCUGUUUCAUAAUGGAGCAAUAAUGUGAGAUAAAGAUGACCUGAGUAGUGUCUCGCACAUCACAGUUUGUGAUUCUGAAUGCGUGGACGGCCCAGUCAAGGUAAAGUUCUUGCUCGGACCUCCUGAGAGGCAAUCCUUCUCUUAAUGCAGCUUCAUCAAUCUGGAUAACAGUGAUGCCAGCCUUCUCAAGGUCCUUAACCUCAUCUUUAAUCGCGAGUGCAAUUUGGAAACACGUCUCAUACCUAUAAACAGCAACAGUGAGAUGGAACACCACAUAGAGUGAAAAGAGAAUUUGAUAGGCUUGGGUUGUCACACACCUGGGCUGGUCAUUUCUAACAAAGGACCAAUUGAGAAUUGUCACAGGACCAGUGAGCAUCCCCUUCAUAGGACGUUCGGUCAUCUUCUGUGCCAUUGACGACCAGAAGACAGUCAUUGCCUUUGGUCGGCUGACAUCACCGUAGAUGAUAGGUGGCUUGACACAGCGGGAUCCAUAUGACUGGACCCACCCAUUCGAUGUGAAUGCAAAGCCAGACAGCUGCUCGCCAAAAAACUCCACCAUAUCGUUUCUCU
rnacentral:lncRNA from 1 species